GUGAUGAUGGAAAAGAAGUUUGUACCUGACAUAAUCGUAAACAAUGCAGGUACAAUCAAUAUAAACAAUAGAAUUUGGGUAUCUUGAUGAGUCUUAUAUUUGAAUCCGCUUUACUUUUGUUGAUAGGAUAUUGAAUCCUUUUUUUUGAAUCCAUUUUGUUUUUGGGGAUGACAGAUUCUGAUAUACGAAUUGAUUAGCUACUUUACUUUUUACAAUUUUUUGACUUGCUAAAUUCGGAUAUUUUGGCAGAUUCAGAUCUUUGGUCUGUUUGUUAAUACAUAUUCAGACCGAGUCACAUAGAUGUAGUUAGUUUUGCCUAAGUUUUUGAGGGACUUGGUUCAUAUGUUCCCUUGCUCAAUUUACAGCUGAAGAUGCAUAUGUUUUUCUGGUUAACUGGUUUGAAAGGUUUCCACAAUACAAGCAUAGAGAUUUCUACAUUGCUGGUGAAAGUUAUGCAGGUUGGAAAUGCUGUAACGGAUGACUACCAUGAUUUCAUUGGCACAUUCGAAUACUGGUGGACUCAGGGUUUGAUUUCUGAUUCAUCUUAUCGAAGUUUACGAGUUGCAUG